GUUCACAUAAAAGAAAACUAAUCAAGAGAUUGGAAGUGAGACUAAAUAUAAAAAGAAAGUAAUAAUAAGUGUUAGAUAUAUUAAUGUUCAUUUUGAAACUUAAUCUUUUAAAAGUUCAAAAUCUUAAUAGAAAAGGAAGAGAGGAAGAAAGAUAUGCUUCAUGUUUCAAAUCACACCAACACCAACAGUAUGUAAUUUUAAUUUCUUUAGUAAUUUAAUAUAGAUAAAAUAGUUUACAAUAAUUUUUA
rnacentral:misc_RNA from 1 species